GCUGUCAUCGUCUAGUGGAAUAGGAUACUGCUUUCUCAAGGCAGAGACCACGGGUUCGAAUCCCGUUGACAGCA
rnacentral:tRNA from 1 species